rnacentral:rRNA from 1 species
GACGAACGCUGGCGGCGUGCCUAAUACAUGCAAGUCGAGCGGACUUUAUCCUUCGGGGUAAGGUUAGCGGCGGACGGGUGAGUAACACGUAGGCAACCUGCCUGUAAGACCGGGAUAACAUUCGGAAACGGAUGCUAAUACCGGAUAUGCAACUUGGCUGCAUGGCUGAGUUGGGAAAGACGGCGCAAGCUGUCACUUACAGAUGGGCCUGCGGUGCAUUAGCUAGUUGGUGAGGUAACGGCUCACCAAGGCGACGAUGCAUAGCCGACCUGAGAGGGUGAUCGGCCACACUGGGACUGAGACACGGCCCAGACUCCUACGGGAGGCAGCAGUAGGGAAUCUUCCGCAAUGGACGAAAGUCUGACGGAGCAACGCCGCGUGAGUGAUGAAGGUUUUCGGAUCGUAAAGCUCUGUUGCCAGGGAAGAACAGCCAGGAGAGUAACUGCUCUUGGAAUGACGGUACCUGAGAAGAAAGCCCCGGCUAACUACGUGCCAGCCGCCGCAGUAA